rnacentral:rRNA from 1 species
AAAGGUAAGCUACUAAGAGCGAAUGGUGGAUGCCUUGACUGGUAAAGGCGAUGAAGGACGUACUAGACUGCGAUAAGCUACGGGGAGCUGUCAAGAAGCUUUGAUCCGUAGAUUUCCGAAUGGGGCAACCCAAUGUAUAGAGAUAUACAUUACCUAUAUAGGAGCGAACGAGGGGAAUUGAAACAUCUUAG